rnacentral:piRNA from 1 species
GCUAAAAGAGCACACCCGUCUAUGUAGCAAA